rnacentral:rRNA from 1 species
ACGUAGCGCGCAAUUAGGUAUGUUACCUUGGCACCUCCCAGGUUCUCAACAGAGAGAUGGGUCAACCCUCGGCGUGUUCCCUUUUAAUGCGGUGGGGUGGAAGGAAUCCCUCAUCCUUAGAGAAAUCAAGUCUUGGUUCGGGAAGUAUGUGCAGACUGAACUAAGAAUGACGAAGGCACCACAGAGUGAGCUGCGGCUAAUUGACUCACACGGGAAACUACAGGUCCAGACAUAGUAAGGAUGACAGAUGAUAGCUCUUCUGAUUCUAUGGGUGGUGGUGCAUGGCCGUUCUUAGUUGGUGGAGUGAUUUGUCUGGUUAAUUCCGAUAACGAACGAGACCUUAACCUGCUAACUAGUCUAUUACAUUUCAUGUAAUUUGACUUCUUAGAGGGACUAUGUAUAUCAAGUACAUGGAAGUUUGAGGCAAAUAACAAGGUCUGUGAUGCCCUUAUGGCGCCGGGGGCGGCGCGCGUGCUACACUGAUGCAUACAACAAGUGCCUAGCUAGACAUAGUAUGGCAAUCUGGAAUAUGCAUCGUGAAUGGGGAUAGAUCUUUGCAAUUAUAGAUCUUGAACGAGGAAUUCCUAGUAAGUGCAAGUCAUCAUCUUGCAUUGAUUAUGUCCCUGCCCUUUGUACACACCGCCCGUCGCUCCUACCGAUACCAAGUGAUCCGGUGAACCUUUGGACCUCGCAAGAGGAAAAUAACAAACCAAAUGAACUUUAAGUAAUCUAGCCUACCGCGAAUUAAUUGA